rnacentral:rRNA from 1 species
UACGAAGGGGGCUAGCGUUGUUCGGAAUGACUGGGCGUAAAGCGCACGUAGGCGGAUUGGUCAGUUGGGGGUGACAUCCCGGGGCUCAACCUCGGAACUGCCUGCAAUACUGCCAAUCGUGAUUUCGGGAUAGGUGAGUGGAAUUCCUAGUGUAGAGGUGAAAUUCGUAUAUAUUAGGAAGAACACCAGUGGCGAAGGCGGCUCACUGGCCCGAUACUGACGCUGAGGUGCGAAAGCGUGGGGAGCAAACAGG